rnacentral:misc_RNA from 1 species
GAAACUUAAAAAGGAGCAAUACAUAUCCAGAUUUUGCAUCAUUGGUUGGGUCAGCCCACUGUGGAUUGAACUCCAAAUCCAAUGAGCUCUUCGCAGGAACAAGGAACUGUUCUUUUAACAGUGUAUUUGUCAAUUCUAAUGAGAACUUUUUGGCACAAAAGGUGUAGUGAAGGGUUAUGAGGUGUUCCUUCUCUUUCCCAUCUCAGGAAUGAGUGAGAUCAUGUUCUUUAAUCUCAUCCAAUUUUAGUGCUUUUCCAGCAAAAGAAGAGACUUGGAUUCUACACCAAGCCUGGAUCAUAACAACGAUAGGAGCUACUCGUUCAAGCCGACUUCACCACACUACUAUUUGC